rnacentral:rRNA from 1 species
ACGGGUGAGUAACGCGUGAGUAACCUGCCUUUCAGAGGGGGAUAACGUUCUGAAAAGAACGCUAAUACCGCAUAACAUCAAUUUAUCGCAUGAUAGGUUGAUCAAAGGAGCAAUCCGCUGGAAGAUGGACUCGCGUCCGAUUAGCCAGUUGGCGGGUAACGGCCCACCAAAGCGACGAUCGGUAGCCGGACUGAGAGGUUGAACGGCCACAUUGGGACUGAGACACGGCCCAGACUCCUACGGGAGGCAGCAUG